rnacentral:sRNA from 1 species
AAAAGAUGCUUCAAAGGAAUUAAGAUAUGACCACAUAAAGCAACAUAUUUAAUCAUGAAUACGAGGUCAACAUGGCAGUUCAAAUUUAAUCACUAUAGCGCAUAUGACUCUACAUUGGUUUGUACCUAACAUUUUGCUCUCUCCACAUCUAUUGAGACACAUGUAGGUAAGCCAUGUGAUAGACAGCUCAUCAACUAGAAAGGCAGGCAAAAAUAAAAUAAAUAUGGGAUCAAACUAUACAUAAUUAAAGAAAAGAUUCUAAUUACAAUGAAUUUAAUAAUACAAAAAAUUAACCUUGUUCACUAUGUGAAUGUUCCCCCAUUGGAACAGAAAUGCCACAUGAAUGGAGAUUUCCCCAUUGUAUCUUUAGAUGCACAUGCACCAGGCUACUUUAUUUCUUCCCUCUCUGCUUUGUUUCAGUCACGUGUGGGUUUUCAGUGAAAUCAGCUAUUCUACUGCUUUGGGGAACUCUAAGACUUAUCAGACGCCAGGCAACAGAAACAACACAUUUUCCUCUCUUGGCGAUGAGUUCAUCUCUGUAGAAGCAUGACAACUUUCUCCUCAGGUGUCCUGGAGAUACAGCUUGUCCCAUGUUCUCCCUACGUGCACUUUAACCAGAUGUUCUCUGCAAUGGCCUCCUGCUGCUGCCAGCAGAAGCUCUGAUGAGUGAAUUCACCAAGUGUCAAUAGCUUCUCCUUUAAGAGUGGUUGGUGAACUUCUUUUCCCCUCCAUGCUAGACUGUGGACUGCCUUGAUCUUGUACAGGUCUUAUGGAGGCAACCAUAGCUGUGGUGAGUUUAUGAGUGAGUACAGCAGUUCUAUCAUGUUUGUAAGACAUUUUUUCACUCUGAUAUUUCUGAUCUCUUUCUCUCAAAAAUCUUUCUACCCCUUCUUUGGUGGUGGUCUCUAAGUAUUGGGGGUAAAGAGUAUGACAAAAAGAAGCAAAUACA